rnacentral:rRNA from 1 species
CAGUAGCCACGGUAAUACGUAGGGUGCAAGCGUUAAUCGGAAUUACUGGGCGUAAAGCGUACGCAGGCGGUUUGUUAAGUCAGAUGUGAAAUCCCCGGGCUUAACCCGGGAACUGCAUUUGAAACUGGCAGGCUAGAGUCUCGUAGAGGGGGGUAGAAUUCCAGGUGUAGCGGUGAAAUGCGUAGAGAUCUGGAGGAAUACCGGUGGCGAAGGCGGCCCCCUGGACGAAGACUGACGCUCAGGUACGAAAGCGUGGGGAGCAAACAGGAUUAGAUACCCCUGUAGUCCCUGUCUCUUAUAA